ACGCUCGACACCUACGGGAGCAGCAGUAGGGAAUCUUCCACAAUGGACGCAAGUCUGAUGGAGCAACGCCGCGUGAGUGAAGAAGGUUUUCGGAUCGUAAAGCUCUGUUGUUGGUGAAGAAGGAUAGAGGUAGUAACUGGCCUUUAUUUGACGGUAAUCAACCAGAAAGUCACGGCUAACUACGUGCCAGCAGCUGCGGUAAUCUGAGCGGGCUGGCAAGGC
rnacentral:rRNA from 1 species